rnacentral:rRNA from 1 species
AUUGAACGCUGGCGGCAGGCCUAACACAUGCAAGUCGAGCGGUGGCACAGAGAGCUUGCUCUCGGGUGACGAGCGGCGGACGGGUGAGUAAUGUCUGGGAAACUGCCUGAUGGAGGGGGAUAACUACUGGAAACGGUAGCUAAUACCGCAUAACGUCGCAAGACCAAAGUGGGGGACCUUCGGGCCUCAUGCCAUCAGAUGUGCCCAGAUGGGAUUAGCUGGUAGGUGGGGUAACGGCUAACCUAGGCGACGAUCCCUAGCUGGUCUGAGAGGAUGACCGGCCACACUGGAACUGCGACACGGGCCAGGCUCAUACGGGCGGCAGCAGUGGGGAAUAGUGCACAAUGGGCGCAAGCCUGAUGCAGCCAUGCCGCGUGUGUGAAGAAGGCCUUCGGGUUGUAAAGCACUUUCAGCGGGGAGGAAGGCAUUAAGGUUAAUAACCUUAGUGAUUGACGUUACCCGCAGAAGAAGCACCGGCUAACUCCGUGCCAGCCGCCGCCGUAA